GACGAACGCUGGCGGCGUGCUUAACACAUGCAAGUCGAACGGAAAGGCCCUGCUUUUGUGGGGUGCUCGAGUGGCGAACGGGUGAGUAACACGUGAGUAACCUGCCCCUGACUUUGGGAUAACUUCAGGAAACUGGGGCUAAUACCGGAUAGGAGCUCCUGCUGCAUGGUGGGGGUUGGAAAGUUUCGGCGGUUGGGGAUGGACUCGCGGCUUAUCAGCUUGUUGGUGGGGUAGUGGCUUACCAAGGCUUUGACGGGUAGCCGGCCUGAGAGGGUGACCGGCCACCUUGGGACUGAGAUACGGCCCAGACUCCUACGGGAGGCAGCAGUGGGGAAUAUUGCACAAUGGGCGGAAGCCUGAUGCAGCAACGCCGCGUGCGGGAUGACGGCCUUCGGGUUGUAAACCGCUUUCGCCUGUGACGAAGCGUGAGUGACGGUAAUGGGUAAAGAAGCACCGGCUAACUACGUG
rnacentral:rRNA from 1 species